rnacentral:rRNA from 1 species
GACGAACGCUGGCGGCGUGCUUAACACAUGCAAGUGGUGCGACGAACCAGGGCUUGCCCUGGGGCAAAGCCGCGAACGGGUGAGUAACACGUGGGUAAUCUGCCCCGAUGACCGGGACAACCCGAGGAAACUCGGGCUAAUACCGGGUGUGGUGCUUUGGCGUAAGCCUUUGCACUAAAGGAAGCUUCGGCCUCCGCAUUGGGAGGAGCCUGCGGCCCAUUAGCUUGUUGGUGGGGUAACGGCCCACCAAGGCGACGAUGGGUAGCUGGUCUGAGAGGACGAUCAGCCACACUGGGACUGAGACACGGCCCAGACUCCUACGGGAGGCAGCAGUGGGGAAUCUUGCGCAAUGGGCGAAAGCCUGACGCAGCGACGCCGCGUGA